rnacentral:rRNA from 2 species
GUUGACCUCGAAUCAGGUAGGACUACCCGCUGAACUUAAGCAUAUCAAUAAGCGGAGGAAAAGA